rnacentral:rRNA from 1 species
AUUGAACGCUGGCGGAAUGCUUUACACAUGCAAGUCGAGCGGCAGCACGGGGGCAACCCUGGUGGCGAGCGGCGAACGGGUGAGUAAUACAUCGGAACAUGCCCAGUCGUGGGGGAUAACACUUCGAAAGAAGUGCUAAUACCACAUACGUCCUGAGGGAGAAAGCGGGGGAUCGCAAGACCUCGCGCGAUUGGAGUGGCCGAUGUCAGAUUAGCUAGUUGGUGGGGUAAAGGCCUACCAAGGCAACGAUCUGUAGCUGGUCUGAGAGGAUGAUCAGCCACACUGGGACUGAGACACGGCCCAGACUCCUACGGGAGGCAGCAGUGGGGAAUUUUGGACAAUGGGGGCAACCCUGAUCCAGCCAUUCCGCGUGAGUGAAGAAGGCCUUCGGGUUGUAAAGCUCUUUCGGCAGGAACGAAACGGCGAGCUCUAACAUAGCUUGCUAAUGACGGUACCUGAAGAAGAAGCACCGGCUAACUACGUG